rnacentral:lncRNA from 1 species
CUGUGGUUGGGUGAAUAGGAAGGGCAACGUCACAGAGACGUGAAAUGACAUUAUGCCUGCAAAUAAAUACACAAGGAAAGUCUGAGGCAGACUAUGGAGGAAGACGAGCUGGGAGAGAAAGGAACUGAUAUUUAAGCUGAGAGCUGGAGGAUAUGUAAGACUGAGCCAAGCAAGCAGAAGGAGGAAGCGUGUUCCAGGCAGACGGACAGCGUGAGUGAGUCCCAAAGGCAAGUGGGAAUGGGGCAUGUUCCAAGAAUUCAAAGGAACUCCUGUGGCUGGAGAGGAGUGUAGGGGAGAGGCACACUUGGAGGCGAGGCCAGGGAGAAAGGCGGGUCAGUGAGGGAGGUCAUUGGCAGCCACGUGAUGCAGCCCUUUGCGUGCUGUUAUGAAGACGUGGGACUUCAAAAUUCUUUCCUUAUUUUAUACUCUAGGACAGCCACUGUCAGAGAGAUUAACUGGCUUUUCUAAAAUCAACUAUCAGGCUGGGCAUUGUGGCUCAUCCCUGUAAUGUCUGUAAUCCCAACACUUUGAGAGGCUGAGGCAGGAGGAUGGCUUGAAGCCAGGAGUUUGAGAACAGCCCUUGCAACCUAGGGAGGUCCUGUGUCUACAAAAAAUAAAAACAUUAGCCAGGUGUAGUGGCACACAGGUGUAGUCCCAGCUGCUCAGGAGGCUGAGGUGGGAGGAUCACUUGAGGCUGGGAGGUUAAGGCUGCAGUGAGCUGUAAUUGCACCACUGCAUUCCAGCUUGGGGCAAUAGAGUGAGACUCUGUCUCAAAAAUAAACAAAAUAUCAAAAAUCAAAUGUCUGUAUAUUGACGGACCACUGUGUCUUCCUUGGGUUUCCCCAGAGCAGAUCAUUACACAAGGAUUCAAUUAUUUGGGGGAUUAGCUUACGAAACACCAGCAAGGAAAGGGCACAGGAAACCCAGUUCCUGUUUAGUUCUGGUUUGAAGGCCACGGUAGGGGUGGGGUGGGGAUAUUCAUUGUCUGGCACUUCCAGUCUGCUGCCUGGGUGGGGACACUGGGUCCAGAGGCAGCUCUCAGGUGAAGGAAUGCAGAUGUGGAGAGUUGGGCAUUUGGAAUGGUGGUCUGCAUGCACUGAGUGGCCAGGGCGAGGGGACACGGGCCGGGCACUGAGUUAUCUGCUGCAAACAGUUCUAUGGCUCUGAUUCUGAGCCCCUACACCACACUACAUUGGCUGGAUUUGACUUGAAUUCCACCUGACUAGCAGGUGAAAGAUGCUUACUUGAUGGUGGAUAGAACCAGAAAAGUCACAUAACAUUCUAGAACUCUGUGCCGAGGCCCCGGCAAUACCUCAGGUUCUAGGCCUCUGUCUCCUUCGUCACAGCAUGCACUUCCCAUAAUUCUUUCCUUCACUUCGGAGUCUUAAUACCAAAGGAAGACACGCCAUUUUGAGCAGCCUAUUAAUUUGAAAGUGUCAAGUGUAACUAGGGAAUAAAUGAGACUCCUCAAAAUGAGAGCUUAGUGAGGCAUGAGGUAGUGAGCAAGGUCAAGCGCUUAGCUUAAAACAGCUGGAUUAAUUAGGGUAAAGUCUUUGGGCUUGGGAUUUGGGGGCCUUUCUGACUCAUGCAAUUUUUCCAGAAAUGAAUGGGUCAUAUGUUUUGGGAAUCUGAUAUUUAAUGACAAGUUUUGGGGUUAAAAAAGUUCACAGUAAGUUUAUGUUAGCAAUAAUUGUCCUUGGGGAGAUUUUGCGGAGCAAGGGAAAGAGAGAUGUUGGUUCUCCUUUCCUUCCUAGCUUUUUGCCCUCAUCAAACAUUUAUAGCUGGAGGCCCUGUGAAUUUCAAUAUCAACAUCAUGGUUCAGGUGCUCAAGGAUUUCAUAGUCUGUGAGAAGACAGACACACAGAUAAACGCACACUAGCUAACAAGCCAUGGAGCCCUGGGGCAAUUUGUCAGCCUCUCCGGGCUCUGUUUCAUUUGGAAGGACCUUGAUGGACAAGUUCAGUGCUUCUCAACCUUGGCUGUUCAUUGAAAGUACUUAGGGAACUUAGAAAGAACACCAGUGCCCCAGCUGGCCUCAUGGCUCUGGAGUAAGGCCCAGGCGUUGGUAUUUUUUUUAAAGGUUUUGCUAACUCUAAAAGUCCUUCCCCCAGUCUCCCCCAACCCACCCAGAGAGCCUGUACUCUGUUUAACUCAACAGAAGACAGGAGGUGGGAGGUGAAAAUCACAUUCCCUCCUCUUGGUCUGGUGAACACGUAGUGUGAGCGCAGUGGAGCUCUGUGUUAGGUGACCAUAUGCCAGCCGCCUCUUGGACUCUGAGUGAAUAGCUCACCUCAAUAGAACGCAUAGAACACUCAUUCCAGAAAUAACAGGUGCCCACAUUUUUCUUCCUUGGGAGACACAUUCAUGGAGCCAACAACUAAUUAUCAUACCAAGAAAACAAAAACCGUGAGGGAGAGCAGAGGCGGGCUGGCAGCACCCUUGAGUUGUACAAACCGUGACUCACUGGUGUUCAAGGCUGAAGCAUCUCCGUAGCAUCUCUCUGAGAAGUAUCCUGUGGUUAUUUUGCAAAAGAAAGAAGGCAACGUGCUUUGCCGUGAGCCUGAACGGAAGGAGAGCUCUUCUCCAAUCUCCUGCGUCCUCUGGUUGGCUUCGGACCACACCUGCCAUUGAACUUUCCAUAGCUGGAAUAGAGAACACUUGGCUUCCACACCCCUGUUCUGGCGUGUUCACUACACUAACAACCUCUUCUGUUACGUACAAGGUAAUUAAAGGAUGAGCUUAGAAGCUGGCACCUUUCCUUUAAAGUAAAAGGCAGCUUACGUUUUGCUAGUGACAGUCUCCUGUAAAAAUAACUCUCUUAUUAGCGAUGACAUAAGAGCCACUGAAACCAUCUCCGCUCAUGGUUAAGCUUGGAGCCUGCCCCAUGCCCUUCUGAGGCCCUUUCUCCAAUACAUGCUGACAAAAUCGGCUCCCUGUGCGCCAACAUCAACAUAAUGACCUCACCGUGGAUGAGUCUAUGAGUCUCUGAAGGCUGAAUGAUUCUUCAGAACACGCUGAGGAGAUGAGCUAGAGGCAUGAAUAAAUUGCUUGUACUUUUCCUUGCUGGCUGUAAAGCCAGCAUUGCUCUAUCUAAUGGAAUGUCUACAAAAAGCCACAAGAACUCCAUCGUUGUUGUUGUUGUUUUUCUUUUUAGGCUGAUAGGUUUUCUUUUUCAUCUCCUGCAGCAGGUCUUGUUUGAGAGAACUUUGGAAUGUGUAGUGACCACUAAGAGCAUGGAAUUGAAUUAGCUGAUUGAUUACAAAGAGAGAGCCUCAAUUUAAAAGAUAGAGGCCCAGACCGGGCAAAGUGGAUCGUUCCUGUAAUCCCAGCACUUUGGGAGGCCGAGGCAGGAGGAUCACUCGGGCCCAGGAGUUUGAGACCAGCCUGGGCAACAUAGUGAGACCUUAUCUCUACUAAAGAUAAAAAAGCUACCUGGGCAUAGUGGCACAUGCCUGUGGUCCUAUCUACUUGGGAGGCUGAGGUGGGAGGAUCACUCGAGUCCAGAAAGUUGAAGCUGCAGUGAGCUGUGAUCAUGCCCACUGCACUCUAGCCUAAGCGACAGUGAGACCCCAUCAAAAAAGAAAAAAAAAAAAGUAAAAGACAGAGGCCUAUAUCUGCCCAGUGAAGAUCUGGCGGAGUCAAAACUCAGAAUGAGGCUGGGUGCAGUGGCUCAUACCUGUAAUCCCAGCACUUUGGGAGGCCGAGUGGAUCACUUGAGGUCAGGAGUUCGAGACCAGCCUGGGCAACAAGAUGAAACCCAGUCUCUAUUAAAAAUACAAAAAUUAGCCAGGCCUGGUGGCAGUCACCUGUAAUCCCAGCUACUUGGGAGGCUGAGGCAGGAGAAUCUCUUGAACCCAGGAGACAGAGGUUGCAGUGUCUGAAAUCAAGUCACUGCACUUCAGCCUGGGCAGCAGAAUGAGACUCUAUCUCAAAAAAAAAAAAAAAAAAAAAAAAAAAAAAAAAAAAGAAACAGCUUGGAAUGACACAACCCCAGGAAACUAUCUUCAUAAUGUGUGGUGUGGACAGGGACCAAUGGCAUUAAAAUAUGUGAAAUGAGUUUUCCAAUUAGACAAUUUUUUCAUUUAAAUUGUAUUAUUGUUAUAUUUGAAAAGCAAUGGAUGCCUUAUGGAAAAUAUAGAAAACAUAAGAAGAAGAUUUUGAAAAUCAUUAUAUGCCUAUACAAAAUAAUAAGUGUUACAGCUUAUAUUUUCUUCUAGUCUUUUUUCUUUGUGUUGCUUUUUGGUAACAUACUGUUUAUAUGUAUAAAUAUAUAAUAUUUAGCAGGCACAAAAAUCUUCUUGGGGCUUUAAAAUUUUCAUCUUUAUACUAGGAAUAAUAAUAGUAUUACUAUAUAGCAUAAUAUAGUAUAUAAUUAUAAUAUAGUAUAUAUAGUAGUAAUAGUACUACAUAUAUAGUCUAUAUACUAUUAUAUACAAUAAUAGCACAUAUUAUAUAUGUGCAUUCUCCUCUGUUUACUUAAUGUGCAUUUUUCUAUUUUAAGAUACACUUACCACAAAACAUCUUUUGCAAUGGCCACCAAAUAUUCCACUGUCAUUAUUUUUAAUAAAAAAUUUCCAUACUUUAUUCUAUAAAGCUGAGUAGAAAUUUUUUUUUCCGGCCAGAUACUCUAACCAAAAUAUUGUGAAAUAAAACAAAGGUCCUUUUCCAUCUUAUACAUAGAGUCAUUGAGAAUAAAAAAUGAAAAUAAUAAUAAAGCUAAGGUCCUUUUCAAUAAGUUACAAAAUAAAAUAUAGAAUCUCCAGUUAAAUUUGAAUUUCAGGUAAAUAACAAGAAUUUUUAAAAAUGUAAGUAUGUCCUAAACAUUGCAUGGGAUAUAUAUUUUAUACCAAAAUAUUAUUUGUCAUUUGUCUGAAAUUAAAAUUUAACUGGGCCUGUAUUUUUAUUUGCUAAAUCUACAACCUUAUGAGUGAAAUGAGAAAAAGGGAGGGGACCUGUUUACUUUGCCUAAUUGUUACUAAUUUUUUCAAAAAAGAAAGUCAUUUUAACUUUUUAUUAAUAAUCUACCAUAUGGUAACAGCUAAGCAGAAAAUAAAAGUGAAAAAAUAAAUAAGAAAGAAGAAAAGAAAAGGUAAACAGACAUAAGGUAUUUACAGUCUCAAAAAAUAAAUAGAAGUGAUAUUAUAGCUAACCAAAAUUAUUUUAAAGGUAUAUAACAGGCUGGGCACGGUGGCUCAUGCCUGUAAUCCUCACACUUUGGGAGGCUGAGGCGGG